GGCUGGUACUGUACGUGGCUUCACAGCCUGUUCAGCGCCUAGUCAUCCGUAUGGGAAACUAGUUCGGCCUUCACUGGUCGGCUGGCGGAACAUACACUUUACUUUGAAAAAAUUAGAGUGUUCCAGGCAGGCAAUUGCUUGAAUACUUCAGCAUGGAAUAAUGGAAUAGGACUUUGACCUAUUUGUUGGUUUCUCGGAGGUCAAAGUA
rnacentral:rRNA from 1 species